AAGAGAGCACUCGCGUCGUCAACACUCACGAUGCCUACUUCUUAUGGUGUAAGUCGCACGGGCACGUCAUCGACCUUUCCUAUUUCAUCGCCCUCGCGAUUCAGCACCAGACGGAGCGGCAUAGGAAGGUGGUCAUCUCCAUUGACCCCGAUAUGACUCAAAUGGAGUGGCACUUCGGGCUCCUCAACACCGCGGCCCAAGAAUCA
rnacentral:lncRNA from 1 species